GGGAGACAAAUCCCAAGUUCUGUGAAAUUUAUUACAAUAUUAUUUUAAUUAAGCAAUUAUACCAUUAAAAAUUAAUCCUGUAACAACACCUGGUCAAGUGCACAAAAGACACCUGCACUGCAGAGUCUGGACUAGUAAAAAUCUCCAUGAAAUAACUCCAAAAUCUACCCACAGGAAAGUUAAGUUAUGGUUCUUACUAUGAAAUACUGGUUGCUGCCAACAAAUAAAACACCCUGAAAGUAUGCCUGGAUAUACAUACGCUUGAGUACCCAGAGUAAAAACCUUGUGAGGAUCCAUACUAAAUACUAGGUUGGUGCAAAAGUAAUUGUGGUUUUUGCUAUUGAAAGUAGCGGCUUUUGUAAUUGCGGUUUUUGCCAUGGAAAGUAAUGGCAAAGGCCACAAUUACUUUUGCACCAAUCUAAUAGUAAAGCAAUUAAAUUACCCUUAGGGAACAAGGUUCAUCCUAAAACUGCCUGAAAUUUUUCCUAUGAUAAGCAUGAUUACAUAAACUAAAAUAAAAACCAUUAUCAAUUUUAACUUACUAAUAGGCAAAUCUGAAAUAUUAUGGAAGCUUAUCUGUUCAGGGGCAUGAAAAAUGUCAAUGUAAACAAUAAACAAAGGGUAGGGAUAGUAUGUGAUUGAAAAGUACAGAUUUUAGGCCAGGCGCGUUGGCUCAGGCCUGUAAUCCCAGCACUUUGGGAGGUGGUCAGGAG
rnacentral:lncRNA from 10 species